AAUGAAGUGCCUGAGUAAAGGGUUAUUUUGAUAGAAUAAAUCAUGUGUAAAUUAACACCUUCAUUA
rnacentral:tRNA from 2 species